GCUAAUACCGGAUAAUAUUUUGAACCGCAUGGUUCAAUAGUGAAAGACGGUUUCGGCUGUCACUUAUAGAUGGACCCGCGCCGUAUUAGCUAGUUGGUAAGGUAACGGCUUACCAAGGCGACGAUACGUAGCCGACCUGAGAGGGUGAUCGGCCACACUGGAACUGAGACACGGUCCAGACUCCUACGGGAGGCAGCAGUAGGGAAUCUUCCGCAAUGGGCGAAAGCCUGACGGAGCAACGCCGCGUGAGUGAUGAAGGUCUUCGGAUCGUAAAACUCUGUUGUUAGGGAAGAACAAAUUUGUUAGUAACUGAACAAGUCUUGACGGUACCUAACCAGAAAGCCACGGCUAACUACGUGCCAGCAGCCGCGGUAAUACGUAGGUGGCAAGCGUUAUCCGGAAUUAUUGGGCGUAAAGCGCGCGUAGGCGGUUUCUUAAGUCUGAUGUGAAAGCCCACGGCUCAACCGUGGAGGGUCAUUGGAAACUGGGAAACUUGAGUGCAGAAGAGGAGAGUGGAAUUCCAUGUGUAGCGGUGAAAUGCGCAGAGAUAUGGAGGAACACCAGUGGCGAAGGCGGCUCUCUGGUCUGUAACUGACGCUGAUGUGCGAAAGCGUGGGGAUCAAACAGGAUUAGAUACCCUGGUAGUCCACGCCGUAAACGAUGAGUGCUAAGUGUUAGGGGGUUUCCGCCCCUUAGUGCUGCAGCUAACGCAUUAAGCACUCCGGCCUGGGAGUACGACCGCAAGGUUGAAACUCAANGAAUUGACGGGGACNCGCACAAGCGGUGGAGCAUGUGGUUUA
rnacentral:rRNA from 2 species